UCACCUCUACGCGGUGCUGGGUCAAACUGCAAACUGAAGAGCACAGACAUCAAUGAAAACACAGGAGCUCAGCUUACACUCAGCUGGUGCAGCUUUUUCUCUGUUGGAUCUGUCUGUAACAUCCCAAAACAACUAGAAGGAAAUGUUAGAAACCUUCUGAAAUAAUGCUUGGUGCAGAUACUGAAUGAGCCAAAGUCAGUGUUGGGGUUUCAGUUUGAAAAACCAAGGCUGUGGUUCCACAGGGUGAAGCUGCCCCUCUUUUCACUGUGUCCCUCCCCAGGCCACAAUCCCAGUGGUGCCAGAACAUCUCCAUGAGAGCUCUUGCAGGAGGAGGAUCCGAGCUCAAAGCACCCAUCUUUGGUCAGGUUAUUUUAAUUCAGGUCAGGUCUUUGACUGGGUUCACCAUGGUGCAAGCCCACAUGCAAUUAUGCCAGCACAGCUUAGGGAAAGAUGUGGGACUGGAGAGAAACAACAGGACUCUGGGCUGCAGCAGGCAGAGCUGCUGCCAAGAGAAACAUUGAUCAAGCUGUACCAAAUAUUUGUUUUAAAAUAAUUUUGAAAUAUAGUUUAGAACACUUGCAAGUGAAGUGUGUUUAGUUGUUGGGAUAAAAGGCUACAGCCAAAGUUAAAUCUGCCGUCUAAUUAUACAGAGUAAACAGAUACAAAACUAGACUAAGGAGUCUAAAAGGUAAUUUCACUGUUCAUAUUUAAACAUCAGCUAUUUAACAACAAAAAAUAUUAAAUAAAUAUUAUUGAUUACUCAUGUCUGUUACCCUGCUCACUAAACUACAGCUCAUAAUCAGUGUUUAGCAGUGAAGAGGCUUUCUGGGCAAUGCUGGACCCCUGACUCAAACAUGUCCUCACCUCUCUGGAAAACUACACCAAAACCAGCUUUUGGCUAAAAUGUCCUGUCUCACUUUUUCACAUUAGCUUUAUUUUUUUUAAUGAUGCUAGGACUGGAAAACUUCAGAAACAGAGGUAGUUAAGAAACCAUACCCUGUAAAAUUUGUUGUUUAAAGAUUAACGUGUAAGAAAAUACCUUUUGUUGAAACUAGAUAGAAUGUUUUUCAUCUGGCAAUUGUUUUCCCUUUAAAUAAUAAAACAUUAAAACCUGAACUAAAAAUAAUCUUGUUGACUGUUCCAGUUCAGGAAAUUUCUAUGAGCCAAGUUUUGUUGUUUUUUUCAGUGGCUGUUAUUUCAAGUUAAGUCAGCUCAGCAACUGCUGACUCCACAAUCACAACUGCUUUCAUACAACCUUCAUUUACUUUCUUUUAUUUUUGGAAACUAUGACAAAACAUCAGCUGGAACACUCAGUCCAGCAUUAUCUUAACAUAUCUGGAAUAAAACAGCAGAGGAUCGUCUGCAAGAGAAAUAUUCUCUAACAGUGCACAGCCCCCUAAAGGGUGUCUCAUAUCCCUACCUGGAAUGUCCUUCAACAAGUGAAGAUCUUUCUCAUGCUGCUGCUUAAAAUCACCAGUGGCUUGUAAUUACAAUAACAAUUUUAUGCAGCAAUAAAUAUUUAAGAAGAGCAGUUCUCACCUUCCCAAAUCCUGCACCGUUCUGAUAGGCAUUAAAAUCAGCAUUUCUCAUCUUUCAGUAGUUCUACAUCUCUGCUGUUGCUCUGUGCUUUGAAGGAGAAUUUGAUUUUGUUUCUUGUGAGAAGUUUGCUCUCAGGUCUGGUAAGAAUCUGAUAGCAAAUGAUGAUGUUUUAAGUUAUAUUAAAUAACAUUUUCUCUUGAACCAUAUGCCAGCAUCUAAAGUAAAUUUGCUAUUAAACAACUCAGAGAGCCAAAUUCCUCAUGAGUAGUUGAAAGGAUAAUGGCAAUUGUGUGCAUUAGAAAUGGAGCUUGUUAGCAAAGGACACAAGCAAUAGUUUUCCUUUGCAGCAAAAAUGCCGACACUGUGUCAGUGUAGAAGACGUGGCCAAACAAACUGGUGUUUACAGUUCCCUGGGAUUUCCCAGGGAGAAGGCAAACCCACAGCUUUUGGAGUAUCCUCGCUAGAAGGGAGCACAGAGAUGUCAUCGCUCCGCAGCCUCGGGACUGAUGGAAGAAAUCCAUGGAUUUCGAAAGGCUCCACAGCCACACCUGCUGGCUUGGCGAGCUCUGCACAACACGGGGGAAACAGAGGGUUUUUUAGAGAAAUCACUCCACAACAAUGCUUAAUGCUGUAUCACACCGCGGUGUCCUCCGGGUGUCAGAAAAUGGUCAACAUUUUAAAAUAGUGUCACACCAAGUGCUGUAUAGAUGUUCUUGUAAAAACCUCUUUGUGGCCAAGCCAAGCAUUAAACAAGCUAAAAGACAGAAAUUACAUUUCCUAAGCUCCCACAACCUUUAUACAUGUGCAUCUUUAUACAUUAAAAGGUGAUUGCAUGGUAUCUGCUAUUCAACUGGAGAGUUUUCUGUACCCUUUGUUUUGGUGAGUAAACAAAAUGGGUUUUUUUCACUGCUCACUGUGUGAUUUCUGCACUCUAAAGAGAGCCAAAUCUGUUGCUUUUCCAUGAUAAAAUGAUGUCUUUUGAAGAGCAGGCUCAGAAAAGUGAAGAUGUGGCCACUGUCUCUGUGUCUACUCUUGUGUAAGAGAACAAAUAAUCAAUGUUUUUGAAAGAUCUUAUGGAACUGCAGAGAAAUACAGGCUUUGGGGGAUCUUUUGGGACAUUCUUGGGCUCCUCUGAAUAUCUCUCCAUUACUGCACACACACACAAAACAAACCAAGGACAGUUUGCUCUAUGGGAACAGUUUACCAAUGUGUACAUAGGUAGGCUGAUAUCUGUUCUUAUCAUUAGAUAAUCCAUAAAUUAAUAUCAUCAGGUCAUUAAGAGUCUUCUCAUCUAGUGCUAUUCAGUGUCUGUUCUCUACUUAUAUUAUCUGAUAUUUUUUUGUCGUUGCACCUACUUCAGUAACAUCUGGGAUGUCUAGGCCUUAUUCUGUUGCUGUGUAACCUAGUUCACAGUUUUUGGCUCAUCAUUCUGAAUUGGUACAGUGGGUGGGUGGAAGGUGAGUUAUUAUUUUAGCUCCUAGUUCUAGGGUAGGUAAGGGCCCCAGAGUUUUAUCUAAAUUAUACCAGAGAAAUUAUUCCCUCUAGGAGGACUCUGGUAGCUGAGGACUUUCCCAAAAUACUCUUCUAAUUUGCUAGAUAGAGGUUAUGAAUGGACUGUCAGGAUUGCUAAGGCUGUUUCACCUCUCUUUAACCAGUCGUAUCUUUAUUUCCAAAUUGUAUUUACAUGUGCUGCCCUACCCUUUAUGUUUCUGUGGAUGUGAUUCACACUCAUGAACAGAGCCUGGAGUUCUUAGAGUCAUGCACUUUUUGAGCAUGAAGUAGGAAAUUAGACACAUAAGAUCAUCAACUUAAAACUUCUGGGCAGCCAGGACAGUGCAGCAUCUCUGACUACAGAUUCUUCCUCCAACAUGCAAGAUCUUCUCUGAGUGUGUCAGAAGAUACAGUGGGUUUUCAGCCCAGCUCACAUGGGUUCAGACUCCCUGCCAGCAGUGUUUCCAGAGCUGAUUUUACCAUCUCCACAUCCAUAUGUUCCUCUUCUGCAUACCUGAGGGAUAUUGUCAAACUUUAAGACUAGAGCUUCUUAGUCUUAGAGCUUUUUAAACUAAAGGGCCCACAUGAGAAAGGUAGAAUCUCUAUCUUCCACAAAUAGUUUGAAACAUCUGAUUAAAUAGUUUAAUGCCUAAUUUGAGUCAUAUGAAGGAUUUUCUGAAAAUCUCUGCUUCUCUUCCUUGGCUGUUCAAAUGAAAAACAGAUGCUUCCAACAUAAAUAAAUCUGAUGUCUGAAAUGGAUGGACUAAUACCCUUCUAAAGUCAGAGGAAGAAACCAACUUCCUGCAUCAUGUCCUCAUUCUGAAAGAACAUCCUCUAUCCCUCCAUUUCUGUUUAACUUCCAACUACCACAGCUGAAUGGCAGUGGCCACUUCUGAAGGGGGACACUUUAUAAUGUCCCUUUAUGCUGUCUCUGUGGGAUUCAUCUUACAUGGAAAAGAAAAAGCCAAAAAAGCAUACUAAGAGAAAAUAAAAUUAAUCCUCCUGAAAGCUCUCAAAAUAUUUGUGAAGGAUUUUGAAGAGUUACAAAAACUUCUGAGGAAACUAAGUAGCCUAAUGGAUAAACUGCUUUCCCUUCCUUCUCUCCAAAGCUCCAUUUCAUUUCAAGAGUUAAAUAUAUUACAGUUGUUAUAACUCAACACCUUCUGAAAACGUAUCUGUCUAAGUUAAUCCAUCAUCAACAAAAUCAAUGACUCUGGAGAUUUUAACACAUCCCACUACAACUAUCAGAGAUUUGGAAUGACAGAAUGAGAGAGAGAAGAAAUAACCCCUUCUCUAAUUGAACCAUGGGAGGAAAAUUUGGCCUCUGUUUUUUCCUUUUCCCUGUCCCCUAGAAAUGAAUGAGAUCCUUCAUUCCUCUGCAGCAACUGCAUUUUCUAUUGCAAUAGAAAGAAUGAGUCAGAAGAGCCUGCUACUGGUGAAAGCUUCACUGGGCUGUCUUCAACAGAGUUCUUCACCCAUUUUGUUUGAGUUUUUGUGGUGUUAAUCAGUUAUUAAAAAUGUCUGGUACAACCAUGAGCAUUCUGGAUUUGUAAAAAAGCUUUUUGCUUGUCAUUUAUUUUAAGACUUAAUGAACAAGCUCUCUUUU